AUUUAAUGACUUAUUAAUUUUAUUUUUAAAAAAAAUAUUUUUAAGUUUAAUUAUUAAUUAAGAAAAAAUUAAUUUUAUUAUAAAUUAAUAGUAUUGUGAAAGAAAGUUUAAAUAUUUGAAAAAUUAAAUGUUUAAAAGAAAAAUUUAAAUUUUGUACCUUGUGUAUCAGGGCUUAUUAAUUAAUAAUUAAUUAUUUAAUUUUCUCGAUUUUGAAAGAGUUAAAAAAUAAUAAAUUUUAUUGUUGAAUAAAUAUUUAAAAUUAUUUUUUAGAAAUGAAACGUUAUUCGUUUUCAAAUAUAUCUAGUUUUUAAAGAAAAGUAUAUAAUACUGUUAUUAUUUAAAUAUUUAUUAAUUAUGAAAUAAAAUAUAAAAAUAAUAAAAAAUAAUUUAGGGGAUAAGCUUUAAAUUAGAUUACUAUAAAUUUAUAAUUUUAAAAACUUUUGUAGGAUUAGAAAUUUUCAUCAAUUAUAGUAUGUUAUAAUUAAGGUUUUUUAAAAUAUUCUUUAUAUCUAUAUUAGAUAUUUUAUUUAAAUUAUUUAUUUAAUAUUUAAAUAAAUGUAAUAAUGAUAAAAUUAGUAUAAUUUAAUGUAUUUUUAAUUUUAUUUUUAUAGGUUAAAUUAAGGAAUUCGGCAAAUAGUUUCUCGCCUGUUUACUAAAAACAUGUCUUUUUGAAUAUAAUUUAAAGUCUGACCUGCCCACUGAAAUUUUGAAUGGCCGCAGUAUUUUGACUGUGCGAAGGUAGCAUAAUAAUUAGUUUUUUAAUUGAAAGCUGGAAUGAAUGGUUGAACGAGGAAAAAACUGUCUCAAUUUAAUUUAAAUUAGAACUUUAUCUUUAAGUAAAAAAGCUUAAAUAUAUUUUAAAGACGAGAAGACCCUAUAGAGUUUUAUAUUUUUAUUUAUUUAAAAUAUAAAGAAUUUUAUUUUUUUAAUAAAUAAAAAUAUUUUAUUGGGGUGAUGGAAAAAUUUAAUAAACUUUUUUUUUAUUUUAAACAUUUAUUUAUGAAUUAUUGAUCCAAUAUUUUUGAUUAUAAGAUUAAAUUACCUUAGGGAUAACAGCGUAAUUUUUUUUAAGAGUUCUAAUCGAAAAAAAAGAUUGCGACCUCGAUGUUGGAUUAAAAUUAAUUUUUGGUGUAGAAGCUAAAAAUAUUAGGUCUGUUCGACCUUUAAAAUUUUACAUGAUCUGAGUUUAAACCGGUGUGAGCCAGGUUGGUUUCUAUCUUUAAAUAAUAAUAAUAUUUUAGUACGAAAGGACCAAAUAUUUAUAAAAUUUAUUUUAUUAUGAAUACUAUUAAU
rnacentral:rRNA from 1 species